CUUAUAAUUUGUCUUUAUUGCCCUUCUAACUAAGUCUCUCUUUACUAGUCAGGCAAAUCUAAUGUUUUUUCCUUUUUUUCUUUUAAAUUUAAUAAUGAUCUUUCUCAUCCAUCGAUUCCAGAAAGGCAGAAACAAUAGAAAAAAAAAUCUAGACAAUCUCCAGUUAUUUUUUUUGGUUCGCCAUUCUAACUCAGAAGAGAAUUUAAGGACUUAUGUUCUUUCUUUCUACUCCUCGAUCAUCAAACAAAAAAGGUUUUCAAUUUGUUUGAUACAAAGCACAAUGUAAUACUCAGGUUUGAGGAGUAUGCCCGUGCUCUCUCCGUGUUUCACCCAAAUAGAUGACAAAAUCCAUUGUAUGUCUUCAAAAACUUGGAGUAACAUAAAUCCCCGUUAAUUUGGUUUCAAAUUCAUGUUGCACCUCAGAUACCAAAGGCUCGGAGCGAAGUGCGCCUAGGCUCAGGGCUCAAACCACCCCUUCAUUGCCUUACCUCGCCUCGCGCCAUUUAAAUCACAUGGGUUCAUCGAACGACAAGAGCUACGCUUGCUUAAUCUAGAAUGAAUUUGAAGGCUGGGAUGUGGUUUUUAUGGAUGCAUUAUCAUGGAUGUAGUAUUAUGGACAUGGUCAUAUGGAUGCAGUAUUAUGGAUGUGCUCAUGUGGAUGCCUUGACGUUGUUGUAUGUGAGGUGAUGGGACUAUGCGUAUGGACGACUUGAUUUUAUGGAUAUAGACAAUGAAAUACUCUAUAUUCUUGAAAUUCAUGAGAUAAUUAUAAAACAAACUCAUAGAUUGAUAAUGACUUUUUGUAUAAACUAUUUACAAACAAUUUUGUUUGGUGUAUGGUUAUUUUUGUGCAAAAGAAAAUGUAAGAUAAUGUUAUAACUGAA